UGUGGACACCUCUGGCUGGCACCCAGCAGACCCUUUCUAUCUGAAGUAGUAUAGGAAGUUAUUUCAUAUUAAUUUGGUGCCCAUGGCUCUUUGUUUGAGCUUGGAUCUGUGGGUUUACAAUUUCCACAAGCGUAGGAAACCAGCGGCCAUUCCUUUUACUGUGGUUUUGGCACCCACUCCUUACUGGGUUCCAACCCUCGGGCACUCCGCCAUCUGGAAGCCAAUGGGUUCUCCUCACUGUGCCUCAACCUUCCUUCUGUCUUGGGAGCUCUACAGCUGCGCCCUCAAGACCACUGCAGUUUUCUUCUGCCGCGCCUCAUAAGAGAUCCUGUUCCGAUCAAGUUUUUCACCUUACAUGUUGCAUCGGGACAGUGCCUGAACACUGAGUGGUAUAUGAACCUCGCGCCCCACCGUGGCUCUGCAACUCCGACGUAAAGCAGGCAGGUGAAGAUACAUGACCAAUGAGCAUCAAGGUCACUCGCAGACUCAGGAAGGAUGGUGACCUCGAAACUGGAAGAAGUCUCAGCAAACACUCACAGCUUUACUGUUUCAGAGGAGACCAGGGUAAGCCUGACAUGUGAUCUGACCACUCUAAUAAAUAACCGUGGUGUGGGAUGCUUCGAGGAGGUGGCGUCUGAAGGUCACAUCAGCUACUGAAAUUUCUAGCAACUAAGUGUGUAAUUAUCACAUGGGCCACACACUGAACCCCGUAUACAUGCUCAAGAGAAAUGCAAAGCAUGUCUCUGUACGCAGACCUAUGCUGGGGGUUGUAGUUCAGUGGCACAGCAUUUGCCUAGCAUGGACUGAGAACCCAGGGUUCCCCGACAGCUCAGCAAAACCACAGUAAGGUCACUCCUCACAUCCACCAAUAAAGAACUACUAAUCAGUCUAUGAACAAGGGGAGGGUUGUCCGAUAACUGGAAAACUGCACAGUGAAUCAUUUGAGACAUGUUAAGGUACAGAGAGUUAAAAACAAAAACAAAACCCACAAUAUCUGAAGGGGUAUAUUCUCCUUCCCUCAACUUACGUGAACUCUCCACAAGACGCAAAAUCCUUGGUUCAGAGAGCAGCUUGGGAUUGCUGGAGUUGAGACGGGUUGGGUCGGGCGUAUGAAAUGGUUGCUGGUGGCUAGGGGCUUCUUGUGGGGGUGAGAAAGCUCUGCAAUGGGAUGGAUUAAGAAUGUACUAGACAGCCGCCCACAUCAUAUGGCUUUUGAAUCACCCCAGUAAAAGGGUGAUUUUUUUUUUCUUUCAAGCAGUGAGAAUUUGUUUGUCACAGGAUGCCCUGGCAGGUGUGAGGAUGGUAACUCUUGUAGCUUUAGAGUUUACAGUUUCCUGUUUUCAUGGUUUUGCAUCUUGAUUCUUUGAACAGCUUCCUGGAGGAGGUGAUUUCUGUCAUGUACAAGGCUGUGAGGCUGUGACGUUGGGAUCAGCUUCUAGGCUGAAUCUGGUUUAAGGAAGGAACCAUGCAAAGAUGAGGGGUCCCUUGGUUUGGUUUAGCAAAAGCCAUUUGUCAUUUUAAAUGAGGUUUUCUAGCUAUGAGUUCUUGGAUCUAGAAGAAAAAAGGGAGUAGGCGUCGAUUUUUAAAAACAAGAUAUUCUGUGAAAGUUCUUAGCUUUCCUUCUUCCUCGCCUUUGAGGAGGAUGGAGUGGCAACAAAUGUUUCCACUGGGCCUUUGAGUCUCAAACACUAGCUCCUGGUGACCGCCUCAACCUCUGCAC
ensembl:lncRNA